GCGGAGCGGGGAGAAGCUUCUCAAACUGUCGGAAAAGCAGUUAAACCUCCGGCCAACGGUCCCGGCCCAUCCAACUGCUGAGGCCGCCUCGGCCGGUCCGAAAGCCUCGGAUCCGGUUCCUCAGACUCCGGCUCCUCCGACUCCGACUCCGACACCGACCGACGACGCCGCGCCGCGCCAGCCACGCCGUGCGCCUCCGCCGCCACGGCGAGGAAAAGGAGUCCCACCCCACCCCCACCCGGCCCGUGCUGAACGCCCGCCCCUGGGCCGGGCGGGGCGGCCCCCGGGGGACGGAGCUCGUCCUCACGGUCCAGCCCAGCCGGCACCCACUGACCACUGACUACGUGCCAGAGCCCCUUCCCUCCCUCGGGAAGUUACAGGUCUGGGGGAAAAGCCGGGCCCACGGGUGUACGCUCCGUCCCGUCCCGCCCCGUGGGAAGCGCCGUGGUGGAAGUGCAAGGACACCUGGUCAGACCCCGAGGGGCGCAGGGUGUCGGGGACGGAGGAGGCUUUUCCAGGUAGAGGGAAGAGCUUGAACGUGACAACAGCCUGUAGGAGCAACGUUAAGACUAUUUUCACACUUAGCAUUGGCAUCCGCCAAGCCAGGCAAGGGUCCCCACCGGAUUGUAAACCGCUGCAGGGAGGGAGUCACGGCCUCCAGCCCGGGACCAGGCACGUGGUAGGAGCUCCACACGUUUGUUGAAGGGGAAGGGAAAUGGCCUUUAGUGUCUGUGGCUCUGUCUGGCCGAGGAUGGAGUUUUGGACCGGACAAGGAGAAGAAUCUGGUUGCCCAGGGUUGGGCCACUUUGGAGGUUCUGGACUCUGCUGGGAAAAGGUGAGAGGCAGAGAGAAGAACUCAAGUUCCUUGUUCACACUGCAGCCGCCACCGUCACCCCUAAGGAAGGUCUCUGGACUGAGGACCCCUCUCAGCAUGCUCUAGGGCCUUGGAUGGUUGGAAUGUUUGAAAUUCUCUGCAUCCAGGAUGAAAGUCUUGCAACAGGAAUAAAAGGACUUCUACACUAAUUAUAUCUGAACUUCCCAGAGCACUCCCGAAUCCACCGUGCUCGUUUGAAAUCCAGUGUUCAACCAAAUCCUGUCACACGUCCGGCACAGGGUCUGACACAAAAUCCUAAUGCUGAGUCCCUUUCUUCUCUCCCCUGGCAGGAAGGGAUGCUAUCUGCGCACCUAGAGAUACUGUGCGACCAGGAAUAGGACCACACCAGUGGCUGGGAGUAAUUCAUAGUCUAUGGGACAUACCAACCCCGUGAAGUAGAUGGGUGAUACUGUCGCCAUUUUUCAAAUGGAGAAACUGAGACUCAGAAGAGUUUAUUAGGCAAAAUCACACAGAUGUUCAAUCUUCAAUCAAAUUUCUAAAAAACAGUGUGUGGCCCAACCAGACGUGCUUGUGGUCCGAGUGUGUUCUGCGUGGAGCCACCUCCCUGGAGAGGCUGGUGGGAUGAUGAGUUUGCUGACCUUCCGGGAGAACAAUGGUUACCAAGGGAGCACCAGAGAGAGAUGCUGAGGGCUAGAGGUGAGCUCCUGCCCAUCUCCCCACCUCCCUGCCGGGGCUCGAGUUCAUGCUUCUAGGCUGGAAGGAGAGCUCUACCUUGCAGCAAAGUCUGGAGCCCACACCUGGGACACACCAUGGCAACAGGCACAGCAUCUCAGAUGGCUCACCCUGAUCUGCGCUGCUGCCGAGGGACCUGCCAGGGCUUGUUUAGUAUUUAUUUUCAUUUUACAUCCACUGUGCUUCAAUUAAAAAAUACCUAUUUUCCCCUCUUC